GUUCAUAGUUGCUUUGUUUGAUUGAUUUGUCUCGUUAUGAGUCGCUAAGAAAAUUUUUGAUGAUUAGUUGCCUUUAU
rnacentral:tRNA from 1 species